rnacentral:rRNA from 1 species
AUUGAACGCUGGCGGCAUGCUUUACACAUGCAAGUCGAGCGGCAGCGCGGGGGCGAACCCUGGCGGCGAGCGGCGAACGGGUGAGUAAUACAUCGGAACGUACCCAGGAGUGGGGGAGUAGCCCGGCGAAAGCCGGAUUAAUACCGCAUACGAUCUUAGGAUGAAAGUAGGGGGACCGGCAAGGCCUCACGCUUUUGGAGCGGCCGAUGUCCGAUUAGCUAGUUGGUGGGGUAAAGGCCUACCAAGGCGACGAUCGGUAGCUGGUCUGAGAGGAUGAUCAGCCACACUGGGACUGAGACACGGCCCAGACUCCUACGGGAGGCGA